GCUAAAAAGAAAAAAUUUUUUUUAAAUUUAGCUAUUGCGACUACUAUUUUGUCUGCCGUACGACUUAACAAAAAUGCUCAAAACUGUACAGACAUAGAAAUAAUAAAUUUUAUAAAAGCAUGGCUGGUUAGGAGCAAGGAUCGCUUUAAUAAUAA